UUGAAAAUAAUAGUACACAUAUGUAGAGGGUAAUAAUGUCUGGGAAACAUCUGAAUUCAAUCUCAUAAAUGAAAUAAGAUAAAAUUUGGACUUUGUGUUUCCUAGAAGGACAUCUUUCCAAUCAACAUAGAGAUAUUCUUAUGAUAUCAACAUAGUAAUAAAUAUACAACAAUAAAUAUAUUAAAACCAAAUAUGAAAAGAAACCAAAAAGGCAAUAGCCAUAAUCGAAAGAAAACAAAAUUGAGAAACACAUUCUCUCUCUAAUAUUCCAAACGAACUACUCUCUCUCAUGAAUCAUCCCUCUGUUCUUCUUUCCAAAACCUUCUUUCACUCUAUUUUUUUUUAUUUCUAGUCAUUCAUAUGAAAACAAACACUAACCAACAUGUAAGAAAUAUCAAACAAUGUUUUUCCCAUUUCUUUAUAGAAAAAAAAGAGUUGAUGAACAACGAUUGGUGUUCUUCAAUAGAGACCCGUAUUUCUGUCAAUCCAAUCCAAGCCAACAACUUAUUAUGCAAAUAAGCUCAAACAAUCAUCGUAGAUCUGAAACAAAAAUUGAUUUUUUACCCAUAUUCCAAAACCGCUUACAGAUCUGAACAAAUUGAAAAUCCUAGCACAAAAUUUAAUAUGAUUUAACAAAGGAUAUUCAUCAACAUCAAAUUAAUCAUGCCAAUCAACAUAAAUAUGGAUCCUCAGCGUUUGAAAAAUCUAGAAUUGGAGGGUAAAAGGGGCUCGCCAGAUUUACACUUCUGGCGAGACUUCGGCGGCCAUGUUUACCUCAAUGACGGAGUGAGCUCUUAUUUAUAGAGCAAUGAGGGAAGCGAACCCAGCUGAAAAUUUUGGAUAAGAAUGAAAUCAAUUUGUUAAAAGGAUCCCUAAUUUUGUGCAAGUGAGUGGGAUUGAGGAGGGUGUCGAGAAAAUCGUUGAGGAGAUGGUGUAGAUAUUCUAUGAUUUUUGUCCUUUUUUAUGCAUUGUAAUUUCUUCUUUACUGAUGUGAAUUUUAACCGAUGUAAAUGAACUAAACAUAAACUUACUGAUGUAAUUUUUUGUUACUGCAGGUUGAUUUACAUGAAUUAAUUUCAAUUUUUUUACUGAAAAAAAAAUUACUGAUGUAUAACAACAAUUUAUUGAGAAAAUUUACUGGUCUGAGCAUGUUCA